rnacentral:lncRNA from 1 species
AUACAUAUAUGUAUAUAUAGAUGAGGUCUCUCAAUAUGCUAGUCCGCUAUGAACAGAGUAUAUAACAUGGAUAUAUAACAUGAUAUAUUAUAUUUUACAUGGGAUUAUCACGACAUCUAUGAAAAUUUAAGAGAGCAACUUAUCAAUCUAAAAUGUCAAAAAUAUCUAUAUUAGAAGGUACAAAUAUGUACUUUAUCAAAACUCUACCACUUUCCACAUCCUAAUUAGAUGCUCUUGAAAGAAAAUUAUAUUUCUAUCACUCCUUUUUGUUUUUUUGAAAGAUACUCAUUUAAGAAGUGAAGAAAAUAAUGUUAAUUAAAAUCAAUUAAAUUUAGGAAGAAUAAACUAAAAGAUUCGGCUAUGAAGAGAAGAAAUUUAUAAUGAGAUGAAAAUAAGAGAGUAACUUAAGAGAGAAAAAAAUCAAAGAAUAACCCUCUACAAUCAUACCCUCCAAAAAAUCACACAUUAGUAUACUAGGCCUUGUAAUUUGUUAAAGGAUUUAUCUGAAAUAUUCACAAUAUAACUUGGAAGGCGUUUCAAAUAUCAUGUAUAAGUCACUGUUCAUGCGAGUUUUGAUGUUUUAUGAACUAGGAUUGCCUCAGUUUUCACACCCCUCCAUCUAAAGAUUCUUUGUUUAGGUCCUGAGUAGUGUGUUUUCAAAAAGUUGAACCUAGGUAACUAUAAAAUAGGUAGGUCGCCCUUAUUUUCUCUCUAGAAAAAAAAAGGAGAAAAGAAUGAUGAGAUUUGGUAAAACAUCAUUUGUCAAACUAGUUGGUCAAUCUAUGAUCGCUCAUACUAUGGGCUGCUUCAACAACUCUCGACAUCUGUGUCGGAUGAACUCAAUGCUAUGGAGAGUAGGUUUUUAUGGGGUUCGUUGGUUCAGAUGGCAAAAAUUAUGUAAAGCCAAAAAAAAAAAACAGGAGGAUGAAACUUUCCAGAUCCAAAAGUCCUUAAUUAUGCUUUUCUAGCUAAGCAUGGUUGGCAUCUACCGCAAAUUAAUGCUUUCCUGAGCAUUCAAGUCGAAGUAUUUGAUUUAAGUUCUCUUCUUGAGGCUUAGCUAGGUGCUUAUCUUUUGUACGCUUGAAAAGGCAUAUGGGAAGUCAAAUUAAUUUUAAAAGUAUCUUGUAACAACCGAGGGUCUCAUCCAAAAUAACUAGCCGGAAGGUAUUUUUUUAAGCUCCUUAGUCCUGUAUAAGUAUCUAAGAUCUUCUCAGCAAAUAACUGAUGCGGGACUAAACAUACGCCAGCACGGAUCCUCACAUACUCUCCCUAUUCAAACUCUGACGUUCUUGUCAGACUAAGGGUUCUAAUCUAUUCAAAUCUAAUCACAAGCACCACGUCCCCUAGUCUAUAUAGGUAAUGGGCCGAGUUUGCUCUAAUACCAUUUGUAACAAUACAGGACUUCAUCUAAAAUGGCUAGCCGGAAGGUAUAUUUUUGGGCUCCUUAGUCCUGUAUAAGUACCCAAGAUCUUCUUGGCGAAUAACCGAUGUGGGACUAACACACACCUGCACGGAUCCUCAAAUGCCUAUUCUAUAGAAAUAGGCAAUGGGGAAUCAACAAGGAUUUAGGGUGAGGGACGGUUAUUAAUUAAGUCCAACCACUUCUAAUGCAACCUAUUCUCCCAGUGUAUUACCAAGAGACGCCCAAAGUAAGUGCUCUGAUUGACAUGAUACAAAUGUGUAGAAGCAGCAGUUUAAUCAGCUGCAUUGCUCAAACUAGCCGUUUUUCUACUGUUUGCAAUGCAUAUUAUAUGGCUCUUUUUUUUGUACUUAAACUAAAAUGUCUAAGAUAUUUUCUAGUUAGGUAGCAAGUAACACAAUUUGGUUCAAUUGCAGAGUAAGAUUUAGAGCACUAAAUCUCGGACAAAAUAAAACUAUUUAUAUGAAAGGUAGCAAAUGACAUCCUACUUGUCUUUUUGAAGAUAAAUGACAUCCUUCUUGUCAAGAACAACCUUCUAAGAGAAUAAAUAACUAGAGAUCUGAUUUAUAUGACAGGGAAAAUAAACUACAGUGCAUGCAUCAAAGGAUUGUGAUCUUGUACGGAAGAUUUGGUUCCUCUCCUAAAGCUGCAUUUGGAAGUCAAACAAGUGGGUGUAAGUCAUUUAACCUACUUAUUCCACCCUUUUUCAGUUCAAUACUCCUUUGAUUACCUGGAUUAAAUCACUUUUCAAAAAUAGCAAAAUGGGUAUUUCUAGUAAGUUGGAAUACAAGCUUUUGCCUUCCAAAUGCAUCAUUACUACAUAUAAAAUGGAGUAACUUAUUAUCUAGUAAAGAAGAGUAGGGGUAACUUAACUCAUUUAUUUGAGGCUAAAGUAUUUUGCUUCCAAACACAGCCUCAAAGAAUUAGGACUCUUUGAAUUAAGGCUCCACCAUUUGUGAGUUGGAAUGAGGAAAUGGUUAAGCCUAGCAUUAUUAUUAUUUGUUUUUUGAUAAGUUUAUAGACACCAAGUAAAUGCAUUACACAAUGCAAGGAAUUUUGUCUGAGUUUAAAGAGGACCAAGAGCAACUCCCUUAGAUUUUCUCCUUAUACUCUAAUAGGAAGUGAUGUGUGGUAGAAGGUAGGUGUACAUGGAUAGAUUUUCUAUCAUUAUGAGAUUAGAAUUGUUGUUAUAGAUAGGCAUGGUGAUUUAUGGUUGAAGCAUCAAUCUAAAAUUUCAGUGAGAACAUUGUCAAGCAGAAGCUUUAAAUGCUUUGUCAUGGAUUGAGUUUUUUCCCAAGAAAGCUUCUUCUUUGGAUGAACUCAAAAAGAUUUAUUGGUUGGUUAACAUAUGUAGCAUAAUACACACACACACACACGCAUGCGUGCACACGCACACAAAGAGAGAGGGUUAGUGAGUGAGUGAGAGAGAGAGAGAGAGAGGGAACUAUGUUCAUAAAGAUAAUAACAAACUGUAUCAUAGCAAAGUAAUCAUAUAUGCAUAAAUCAUGCAAGUUCGUAAAGUUGAACAUGCAAUUUAAAAUAUUCAUUAUCAUCAAAUGUUUGCCAUUUAUCCAUACUUUUAUUCAAAACAAUGCUCACAGAUUUUUUGCGCUACGGCCACUACCCAUGACAGGGCCAUCUUCGUAAUCGACAAGAUAUUAUAGUUUAUAUCCAUUACCAACUAUAACCCUUUGGUAGAUGGUCAUUUUCGUUGGAUGCUAGCUCCAUAGUGUUGAUUGGUCUCCAUUUCUAGAGGCGGUCAUAGCUAUUUGAGAGCUCGUAAACUAUUUCAUAUUUUUAUAAAUCAUACCUUUAUAAAUAGGAUGAAAAUGCUAAAUGGCAUCACAAAAGUUUAAAAUACAUAAUUAUAUAUAUCAUUUUCAUGCAUUUUUUUAUAAUCAUAUUUUAUACAUAAAUCAUUUACAAUAAAGUAUUCAAUAAGCAUGAUAUUUAGCCUAAAAUAUAGAACAUUUGCAAUUAUAUGCUUGAUCCUAAAUUUUUAAGAAAUUAUAGGAUCAAUCAUAUCAAAUAUAAUUCAUAAUUUUAUACCUAAAUUUGAUCGAUAAUUUAAAAUUAAUAAGGUUUGUACCAAGGUCACUUACCUCUGUUCUUUUAAAAAUCAUUAAGUUUAGAUGGGUAAAUUCGCUGCACCUAAAAAUCGUUUAAAAAGAAUAAAUUACUUGCUAUUCACUAUUUAAAGUUUAAAUAUAAAUUAAAAAUCUCUAAGCAACUCAAAAUAGACUCGAGCAGGCUUCAAGUUCCGACUAGGUAAAUAAGACUAGUAUAUACAAAUCAGGUAGAGAGAUGGUUGGUUGCACCAAGGGUGAAACCUUUCUCUCAUUUUUUAUAUAUUUAUUUAUUUAUUUAAUUUUUUUCUCUAUUCUUUUUUUUUGUUUUCUCUUCUUUCUUUUUUUCUUCUUUUUUUUUCUCUUUUUUUUUCUUUCCUUCUUUUUUUUUCCUUUCUUCGUCAUCGCCCUUUCCUUCUUUUCUUUAGCAGAGAGAGGGGCAAGUCUGAAGCCACCCCACCAAAAAACAAGAAAGGGGAGGAAGGGACCUCCGGCUCGACGACGAGGGUGGCUGAGGACCGGCAGCAUGGUGGAACGACCACCAUGUAUGGGGUCUUCCUCUUUUCUUUUUUUUUCCUUAUCCUAGUGACUUUGCCGAAUUCCAGCCAUAUUUUGCUGGAUUCCAGCCAUUGCCGGGUUGAUCGGGAGGAGGGAGAGACAGUGGAGGAGAUGGAGACCUUACUUUGCUCCAAGGAGGCGUUGCGACCGUGAUUCCGGUGGCACGAAGACAGGGCACGGUGAGCCGAAGAAAGACAAGAAAGAGGAGACUAUUUCAACAAGGCUAAGCAAAGGAAAGAAGAGGAAGGAAGAAAGGGAGGGAUAGGAGAAGGGAGAAAGAUGGAGGAGGAAGAAGGGCUUGGCGGCCUUGGCAAACAGGGAAGGUAAGAAAGAGAGGGAGGAGACCGCAGAUUUCGUGAUCUCCUCGCGCUAUCCUUCCAAAAAUUGGAGGUUCGCUAGCGAGGAGAAUCCGCUGAAAAGGAAAGAAGAGGGGUGGGGUUCC